AGACUGUAUUUGUGUUCUUCAUUGGAAACUUGGCAUCCACAGGGGGACAAGCAAAGUCAUCAAAAGGAAUACGGAUAUAUAUAUAGUACAUCGGCUAUGCCUACCACUGAAAGCUCAGGAUCCUCUGCAUGCCCAGUCCCAAAUGAAGCAGUUAGAUCUG